AUGAAGAGGGAGAAUGCUGGCAGCUGGAAUUCUGGAAUGGAAAAGGAGCAAAUAAUAGAGACCUAUUCUGCACAACUCCAAAAGUUCCGAAACUUCACGGAACUUUUUUUUGGAAUAUAUAAAAAAUAUUGGGUGAAGAAAGUACCAGAGCGGAACCACCAGCCAGCCACAAGGGUGGAGGGCGCGCCCUACCCCCCUAGGCACGCCCCCCGACCUUGUGGGCCCCCUGGAAGGCCUCCGGUGCCCAUCUUUGGCUAUAUGGUGUGUUCUGACCUGGAAAAAAAUCAAGAGGAAGCUUUUGGGACAAAGUGCCGCCGUCUCGAGGCAGAACCUGGGUAG
rnacentral:rRNA from 1 species